rnacentral:rRNA from 1 species
CACACUGUAAACGAUGGAUACUAGGUGUAGGAAAUGAUUUCAUUAUCUGUGCCGAAAGCAAACGCAAUAAGUAUCCCACCUGGGGAGUACGACCGCAAGGUUGAAACUCAAAGGAAUUGA